rnacentral:rRNA from 1 species
GGCGUAGGGCGCGAGCGUUGUCCGGAUUUACUGGGCGUAAAGAGCGCGCAGGCGGUCGUUCAAGUCGCGUGUGAAAGCCCCCGGCUCAACUGGGGAGGGUCACGCGAUACUGAUCGACUCGAAGGCAGGAGAGGGAAGUGGAAUUCCCGGUGUAGUGGUGAAAUGCGUAGAUAUCGGGAGGAACACCAGUGGCGAAGGCGACUUCCUGGCCUGUUCUUGACGCUGAGGCGCGAAAGCUAGGGGAGCAAACGGG